rnacentral:rRNA from 1 species
UGCGUAGGUGGCAAGCGUUGUCCGGAUUUACUGGGCGUACAGAGCGCGCGGGCGGUCGUUCAAGUCGCGUGUGAAAGCCCCCGGCUCAACUGGGGAGGGUCACGCGAUACUGAUCGACUCGAAGGCAGGAGAGGGUAGUGGAAUUCCCGGUGUAGUGGUGAAAUGCGUAGAUAUCGGGAGGAACACCAGUGGCGAAGGCGACUACCUGGCCUGUUCUUGACGCUGAGGCGCGAAAGCUAGGGGAGCAAACGGG